rnacentral:tRNA from 1 species
GGUGGCUCAGUGGUAGAGUGCUUACCUUGCAUGUAUGAGACCCUGGGUUCAAUUCCUCAGCACCA